AUGCAUCCCAGCAACACUCCCCUAGUUCUCUGCAGGGCCAUUGAGGACAGUCACAAGGGCCCUUUGCUUUUAAUGUGGGCCAUCUGCUUCCUCUCCAAAAUGCCUACCUUUUCAAAGCCCCCACAGCCUCGUGGGCAUCCUCGCACGGUUCUCCAGGCUGCACUACCUCCACGCGCUCUGCACAACAUCGCCACGGUUGACGGAACUUCAGACCCGACUGUAUUCUGACUGAUCAAAUGCAAUUAACCCCGAUGAAAGUUUCCCCAAAUCAAGUUUUAUCUGAAUACUUUUUGAGUUUCUGUUUGUGCGUGCCUCCGUCAGGCAUCAGUUCAACGCGAUACAGUCUGUUCGUCGAUAUGACAUGAGGCCGUUAUCAUAACCCCAGUUAUCAGACACAUCUGAUCUUUACACAAUGUGUCAGCUGCUGUUUUGGUGAGCAGUAAUUAAAUUAUUUUCUAACAAAGACACCAAACAUCAUGAUCUCCAGGUUCCCAGCGUUUCAGAAUGCGUUGGUUUCAGUAGAUCCUAGUGUUUUUUGGAUUAUAUAAGACAUUUGGUCAAUUCAUUCAUUGGUAAAUGAAGGAAAUCGCCAACGAGAUGAUCUGAUGCAACGUUGUAGGUAAAAUAUUAACAAGCAGCAACGCUUCAGUGUCGGCGCCCGCUUCAGUUUCAACAAGUCAUGAAACCUCCAACUCAAACAAAAUGGCACAUGAACAGCAAUCAGUGUAAACUUAAUUAAGAUAGUCUAAAAUUAAAAGACCACAGAAAAAAAAAAGUGUGGCAAUAAUUUGAGCUUUAAGCCGCGCGGCUCUGAAGCCGAGGCUCGUGAUUUACUUUGUCUCGUGCAAAACACUGCCUUAAAGCUGUUUUGAAAACCAACAAUGACAUGAUCCAGGCUUAAAGCUUUAAUGAAAAGAAUGUAAUUGUUCCAGCGUGUGUGUUUGUGUGUGUGUGUGUGUUUGUACGCGUGGAACAAUAAAAUAAAACAGGAGGACGAGAUGCUGUGAUAA
rnacentral:lncRNA from 1 species